GAUGAACGCUAGCGGCAGGCUUAAUACAUGCAAGUCGAGGGGCAGCAUGACUGUAGCAAUACAGUUGAUGGCGACCGGCAAACGGGUGCGGAACACGUACAGAACCUUCCUUCGAGCGGGGAAUAGCCAGAGAAAUUUGGAUUAAUACCCCAUAGCAUAACGGAGUGGCAUCACUUUGUUAUUAAAGAUUUAUCACUUGAAGAUGGCUGUGCGGCUGAUUAGGUAGUUGGCGGGGUAACGGCCCACCAAGCCCUCGAUCAGUAACUGGUGUGAGAGCACGACCAGUCACACGGGCACUGAGACACGGGCCCGACUCCUACGGGAGGCAGCAGUAAGGAAUAUUGGUCAAUGGACGAAAGUCUGAACCAGCCAUGCCGCGUGGAGGAUGAAGGUCCUCUGGAUUGUAAACUUCUUUUAUAUGGGACGAAAAAAGGCUUUUCUAAGUCGUCUGACGGUACCAUAUGAAUAAGCACCGGCUAACUCCGUGCCAGCCGCCGCAGUAACAC
rnacentral:rRNA from 1 species